rnacentral:lncRNA from 1 species
AUUUCAUGACAAAAAAAGAAAUAUCAAAUUUUAUAAUCGUCAAUUAAUUAUGAAAAUUCUAAAAUUGUGCCUUUUUAAAAUCAAAUAUAUAUUAUUUAAAUUAUUGUGAAAAUGAUUUACUAAAGUGUUUUGCUUCUUCAGUUUUAAUUCUAAGAACCAUUAAAUCAUUUAAUCUUUCAGCACCAAUUAAUGUCCUCAAGAAAUUGUUUAUCAAUUUUGGUGAAGAAAGAAACGUUCACUUGAUGCAGUUGUCACUGGUAAUGUUAACAUUAUAGACAAUAUUUUUGUGAUUUCAGGAAAUGCAAACGGUAGCUUUAAAACAAUAUUAAAUAUUAAUUUUAAUUUUAAUUGGGACAUGUCUUCUAGUUCAAAUGUUGCCUUAAUUAAAGAAAAUUCUGAUGGCAGGCUUAAGAGGACGUUUUACCCACAUCUACUGUCUCAGUCCAACUACCGGUUGAUAUGCAAAUGAAAUGCAUAUGCACAAUAAGUAAAACUAGCUUAAUUUCAAUUUUAGAGUAAAAGUACUCAUUAUAAAAAUUAUAGAGAACAAUAUAAUGGAGGAAAUGUUGUAGGGUUUUUGUAUUAUUCAAAAUGUACGGCUCGAUAUAAAAAUUACAAAAAAUUUUUUUUUUAAUUUUUAAAUAACUGUAACUUUUUUAAUAGUUUAUAAUUACAAAAAAAAACUUAUGAAAUUCUUUCUGAAAUAUUGUUCUCUAUGAAUUUCAUAAUAGGCUNAUUGUUUUUGCAUAUUACCCAGCAGUUGAACUGAGACAAUAGAUGCGGGUAUAAUGUACUCUUAAAGAAUUAAUUGGAGAACUUUUAUAUUGGUCUAAGAAUUCAUUAAUAGCAGUACAUUCUGCCUGAAAAAAGUAACCAUUUGUAUAACCAAAUACAUUAAAUAUGUCAAAAAUUUGUUCACUUUUUGAAAAACGUCCGUCUAACCGUGCUACAAUCCUAAAAAAUAACACAUACUUUUAUGAAUUAAUUAAAUGAAAUUAGUAAUUAGUUAUGUAAUAAAUACCUAUCAACCACUUGAUACAACAGUUCAACUUUUAUAUUUGAAAUAUAUUUUUCUUUAUUCCUAUCUUUUCCCAAAGUUGUACAAAAUAAUCAUUGAAAUAUUUAUUGAAAGUCUGAUUUAUUUUCUGAUUUUUACUAUGAUAUUGAAUUUGUAUUCCAUUACAUAUUGCUAUAUAAGUUGCUUUUUGAUGAAAUUUCAAUCACCAAUUUUCACGGCGCAACUUUAAGAUAUUAUUCGUUGAUUCCAAAUUUUGGAUUUGCCAGAUACCGUAAAAUGUUACAUUACCGAUACGUUUUGUUAAUCUUAUUUUUUGGGAGGUGAAACCAUUACCCGGAUUUGAUUUUUAAAUGACAACCUACAUUAAAAAUGUCUUAAAUAGAUGUCAGGUCAGUUGAAAUAAUUGUUUGAGUGGAAAUUUUAAAUGAGUUAGAAAUAUAUAUCUCCCUGGUCCGGUGGUCUCAAGGCUGUAUCAGUGGNUUGCCUGAUACCGUAAAAUGUUACAAUACCGAUACGUUUUGUUAAUCUUAUUUUUUAGGGGGGUGAAACCAUUACCCGGAUUGGAUUUUUAAAUGACAACCUACAUUAAAAAUGUCUUAAAUAGAUGUCAAGUUGAUUGAAAUAAUUGUUUGAGUGGAAAUUUUAAACGAGUCAGAAAGAUAUAUCUCCCUGGUCCGGUUGUCUCAAGGGUGUAUCUGAGGAGAGGGAGUGUUUCAAGGUUCUAACACCAACCCCCCCCCCCUCCUGAAAAAUAUUUAGUAAUACAUUAUAUGUUGCGGAAAAAUAAUUAUUUUAGACAAUAAAAUUAGAACACUACAAAUGUUCGGUAUACGAUCCUCCUGCCGCCCGGAAAUUAUUUUCGAGUUACGGCUACGGGAGGGCUGCUUGAGUCGGUGGUAAUGCGAAAUGCGCGUGUAUUAUCGAUCGAUCUAUGGUGAUAAUUGCAUAAUUUAUAAGUAGCACAAUAUUAAAAUAAGGAAAGCGCGGUUCACUACGGUACGACACGGUUUGUUGUAUCACCGUGGUAUUUAAAACAGCUGAAAAAUAAACAAUAUCCGUUCGAGUCGUUCUUGUGUGUAUUGUGACUAUUGGUCAUUGUGCGUUUAGAUCCCGGUGUGUGCAGACGUCGACAUACUUUCGAAAAAUUUAUUCUAAAUAUACGAAUUUCCGUA